rnacentral:rRNA from 1 species
AACGAGAUCUUCGGAUCUAGUGGCGCACGGGUGCGUAACGCGUGGGAAUCUGCCCUUGGGUUCGGAAUAACUUCUGGAAACGGAAGCUAAUACCGGAUGAUGACGUAAGUCCAAAGAUUUAUCGCCCCAAGGAUGAGCCCGCGUAGGAUUAGCUAGUUGGUGGGGUAAAGGCCCACCAAGGCGACGAUCCUUAGCUGGUCUGAGAGGAUGAUCAGCCACACUGGGACUGAGACACGGCCCAG